rnacentral:rRNA from 1 species
UGGAUCCAGACUUUCAUCCUGGCUCAGGACGAACGCUGGCGGCGUGCUUAACACAUGCAAGUCGAACGAAGCUUGACGAAUGAUUUCUUCGGAAUGAAUUCCGAUAUGACUGAGUGGCGGACGGGUGAGUAACGCGUGAGGAACCUGCCCUUCAGAGGGGGAUAGUGUUUGGAAACGAACAGUAAUACCGCAUAAUGUAUUUUUACCGCAUGAUAGAAAUACCAAAGAUUUAUCGCUGAAGGAUGGCCUCGCGUCUGAUUAGAUAGUUGGUGGGGUAACGGCCUACCAAGUCGACGAUCAGUAGCCGGACUGAGAGGUUGAACGGCCACAUUGGGACUGAGACACGGCCCAGACUCCUACGGGAGGCAGCAGUGGGGAAUAUUGCACAAUGGGGGAAACCCUGAUGCAGCAACGCCGCGUGAAGGAAGACGGUUUUCGGAUUGUAAACUUCUGUUCUUAGUGAAGAAAAAUGACGGUAGCUAAGGAGCAAGCCACGGCUAACUACGUGCCAGCAGCCGCGGUAAUACGUAGGUGGCAAGCGUUGUCCGGAAUUACUGGGUGUAAAGGGGGCGCAGGCGGGAGAGCAAGUCAGUUGUGAAAUCCAUGGGCUUAACCCAUGAACUGCAGUUGAAACUGUUCUUCUUGAGUGAAGUAGAGGUUGGCGGAAUUCCGAGUGUAGCAGUGAAAUGCGUAGAUAUUCGGAGGAACACCGGUGGCGAAGGCGGCCAACUGGGCUUUUACUGACGCUGAGGCCCGAAAGUGUGGGGAGCAAACAGGAUUAGAUACCCUGGUAGUCCACACUGUAAACGAUGAUAACUAGGUGUGGGGGGACUGACCCCUUCUGUGCCGCAGCUAACGCAAUAAGUUAUCCACCUGGGGAGUACGACCGCAAGGUUGCAACUCAAAGGAAUUGACGGA